ensembl:lncRNA
UGCUUCUUUAAAGGGAAAACAAAAAGGACCUAAUGGUUAUUUACUUUGUGUAAAGCAGUGCUUCUAGAGACCUAAGUUUACUUUUAGACAGAAUGUCGGGUUAUGAAGUCAGGAAGUAGAAGGUGAACGAAAAAUUAAAAGAACAAAAACAUCCUAAAUGGUCACAAAUGUUUUGACGAUGUCUUGGAAAUGUACCUAGAAGGAUUUUACCUCGUUACUCUGUUCAUUUCCUGAACAAAGACGUUUUGAAUAAAGACAAUCUGUCAUUGUAAAAAAAGUAACCUUUGAUGUGCCUAAAAUCUGAAGUCAGGAGCCAGGUUGGAGGGGCUGGAAAGUCGGGUGCGGGGAUGCUGAAAGUGCAUAGAGCGAAUCUAAGCAGUGAUGGCUGGUGGCUGCCCCCCGUUGGCCCAUCUUGGUGGUCUGCGGGUUGGGUGUAGAAGGGCCUAGAGUUUCGGAUCUGUCCGGAAUGCGCCCUGGAGAUUGCUUUUUGCCUUUAGAGUCUAGAUAAAGGUAUCGUUCCCUGGGACUUCACUCUCUCCCCCCAUUCUUCCCAAAAGGGUCAGGCCACUUCAAGAAGUGAAUGAACUAAGUCAAAGGCCGACCCAGACCGCUGAGAUCUGGGUGAGUUUACUUUUAAAAACCCAAACGCUGAAGCAGUGGGGAGAAGCACCGAGUCUCCUGGGAACCAGUUGCGCGCUGAACACCGAAUCCUGCAGUGGAUGUUUAAAUUCAAAGCAUGGGAGAAGACUGGGGGAAUCAGCCUCAUCCUUCUGCAGAUGAUCUCUUCUCAAGCUUUCUUGGCAAAUCAAGAGCUUCUGCCUUUUGGGGGACAUCCUCUUGACCUCCCACCCAUGUCAGCUCUUAGAGGACAUUCCACAGGAACAUUGUCUUCUUGUCUUCCGGUAUUUUUUAUGGAAACAGAAAUUAGGUUAUCUUCCCUAUGCUCUAGACGGACAUCUGAAAUCAUCAAACCCUUGAGAGAAAGAGCCCUCAUUCUUUUUUGAGACAACCUGGAAGAAAACAGGUAAAUUUCAUUUGUGAUGAACUGUUGCCAGAAAGAAAAUUGCCAUUAUGAUUUCAUUCUUCUUCAUUGGGGAGGGCUCAAGAGUAGGAUAAAUUCAGAAAGAAAAACAGUUCUUUGGAUUGAGGCCAAAAAGGAUAUUCGUUAAUUUCUGUCUUUUGGUCAUCCUCUGAGUUUCAACUAAAAGUCAAAAUGUAUUCCUUUAGUUAGUAAGGGGGAAACCAGUUGAAAAGAACUUAAUUAGUUAAUGCAUUUGCCAACCCCUUGUGGUUCAAAUUCCUUACUCUCCUGAACAGCAAAUAAUUUCCUACACCCCAGAAGAAUUCAGACCCUCUAUGCUAAGAUUCCACACCUUUGUCAAUGAAGCAGGGUAGGAAAGGGAUGAUGAAGGGAUCGGCAUGCCACUGUCAAUUAAUCAUUAAAAUUUUAAUAAUUGACCUUUAGUCCCCUACUGAUGGUGUCAGCUUCAUUCAUAUAUUCUUUCCCUUGAUAAGAAAGGGCAGCAUCAAAAGCUCUGACUGUCCUACUAGGAGAAAUCUAUGAUACUUAAAGACAAAAAACCUGGAGUGCCAUCAGGCCAGCCCUGGAAGUCU